UACGUAGGGUGCAAGCGUUUGUCCGGAAUUAUUGGGCGUAAAGAGCUCGUAGGCGGUUUGUCGCGUCUGCUGUGAAAACCCGAGGCUCAACCUCGGGCCUGCAGUGGGUACGGGCAGACUAGAGUGCGGUAGGGGAGAUUGGAAUUCCUGGUGUAGCGGUGGAAUGCGCAGAUAUCAGGAGGAACACCGGUGGCGAAGGCGGGUCUCUGGGCCGAUACUGACGCUGAGGAGCGAAAGCGUGGGGAGCAAACAGG
rnacentral:rRNA from 1 species